CCCCUAGAUGUUCUGGGCCGCACGCGCGCUACACUGAACAGUUCAACAAGUCUUAACCUUGGCCGAUAGGUCUGGGUAAUCUUUGAACGCUGCUCGUGAUUGGGAUAGACCUUUGCAAUUAUGGGUCUUCAACGAGGAAUUCCUAGUAAACGCAAGUCAUCAGCUUGCAUUGAUUACGUCCCUGCCCUUUGUACACACCGCCCGUCGCACCUACUGAUUGGAUGGCUCGGUGAAGAAUCGGGACCGUGAGAACAAUCGAUUCAUUUCGAAUGUACUUGUGGGAACCUUUCUUAACCUCGUUUUCUAGAAGAAGGUGAAGUCGUAACA
rnacentral:rRNA from 1 species